CAGGUGUGAUUAAAGAAAAAAGACCAAAGAUUGCCUAUAUGCCCCAUGUUGGCAAUUAUCCUAUUCUGUUUAAGAAGAUCGCGAUUUGAUUUAUCAUGACAGGUGGUAUUAAAUGGAUCUUGUGAUUUUCCAGGGCAUUACGGUUUCCCUAUAUGUUUUCUUUUGUUGGUGUUUCUAAAAGGACAUACUGCACUGAUUAAUAUGUGUAUUUAUAACGGUAUUAUGGGAAAAUACUGGAGCAUUCUUGUUUAUAAGUUGCCUGGCAGCAAAUGAUGUCUGUUUUAGAUAAACAGUGUUUCUGACAUCUCAUUCUUACCUGAAAACCCAAGGAAAAAUGUUGAGGAAAGAAGCUAGUUGGCUCUAGUACUAACAAUGCGCUCUUCAGGUAAGUUAUCCUACAGAGCUGUUGUGUAAUGGUUAUCUGAAACUCUUAUUUUGAUGUUUGACUGACAGGACCAUACAGAAAGGCAUUCAUUAUACAAGAAAUGAAUGUGACACCGCUUUACAGCAAAUAGGCAGGACAUUAUAUCUUAAUGUGUAUGAAACCACGAGGAACCAUGACUAAAUCACAGGGUGUACUGUUAUGAGGGAGUAGGUUUCGUGCGUCUUGUAGUUAUUCACAAGUUCGGAAAAGUCCAGAAGCACGUGGCUGUCGUGUUUCACUCAUACAUGUGGAGACUUUACCUUCAGUGCAGUUGUGGAAUAUGGAAAGAUCCUGGCCUCCGUGGUCAUUCGUAGAACAGCUGGUGAACUCUGUACUGUGAUGACUGUCCAUACAGUCACACUUUCCUUCUGACAAAUAAGGCCCAGUAACGUUUCCCUGAUGGGAAAUAUCCAGUUGCAUAACUGUGUAAAACCAGCUAUAGCAAACUCCUCACUGAGGCAAAUAAGAAGGUAGAUUUGUGUCAUUUCUGCAUACAAAAUAUAUUUCCAACUAGAGAUGCACAAUGGGAAAUUUCUGGGCCAACUGAUAUUUGUCUGACCAUAUUGACUGAUGUUGUUACCUUCCUGUUUUACAUUUUGCAUACAUUUACAAACUGCAACCUGAUUUCCACAUUCAAGGAAGUAGGUAAUCACAGACAGCAACUUAUGAUGGAGAAAUUAGCAUUUUGUUUGUAUGACAAAAUACUAAAACCGGUUUACUUUUUUAUUAUUAAGCAGAGAGCAUGAGUCUAGAGAGGUACAGAGUCUCUGUGGAGCUUUGCUUGGGUGUUUGGUGUUUGCAAAAAUGAUAAAUGAAAAAUAAAUAAAAGAGGUUCAGAUGACAAUGA